GAUGAACGCUGGCGGCGUGCCUAAUACAUGCAAGUCGAGCGAACAGACGAGGAGCUUGCUCCUCUGACGUUAGCGGCGGACGGGUGAGUAACACGUGGAUAACCUACCUAUAAGACUGGGAUAACUUCGGGAAACCGGAGCUACUACCGGAUAAUAUAUUGAACCGCAUGGUUCAAUAGUGAAAGACGGUUUUGCUGUCACUUAUAGAUGGAUCCGCGCCGCAUUAGCUAGUUGGUAAGGUAACGGCUUACCAAGGCAACGAUGCGUAGCCGACCUGAGAGGGUGGUCGGCCACACUGGAACUGAGACACGGCCCAGACUCCUACGGGAGGCAGCAGUAGGGAAUCUUCCGCAAUGGGCGGAAGCCUGACGGAGCAACGCCGCGUGAGUGAUGAAGGUCUUCGGAUCGUAGAACUCUGUUAUUAGGGAAGAACAAAUGUGUAAGUAACUAUGCACGUCUUGACGGUACCUAAUCAGAAAGCCACGGCUAACUACGUG
rnacentral:rRNA from 1 species